AGGUCAGAUUGGAGCAAGAUUUUUUGAGAACAUAUUACUCAUCUUCCGGGACAAGGGGGCGAAACGACCUCUCAAUCUACUUACUCCAGCCCGGGAAUAAAAACGUCGUCUAGGCGUUCCCUGUUGCUCCGAUCUCCCCUACGCCUAGGGCGUUGUCUAGGCCAAGAGCCAUAGUUAGUUGCUGUUUCCAUUUGGUUAUUUUUUUUUUCUCGUUGUUGAUAUCGGCAAGACGCAGCCAAAUGAUGUCCGCUGGUUGGUAGUGAGAAGACUCUUAGAACACAAACAGAAAAUUUAGAAAAUUCAAACAUAAAAAUUUAAAAAAAUUAUUUGGCAUUUAAAAUCAAAUUUAAAUAGUAAAAGAACACAUUAAUUUUCUGUUAUAACAUAAAAAAUUGUCCAUUGUAUUCUACACCUACCAAUAAACAACAUGACGUUAUAUUUGAAAAUCUAUCAACUUACUUUUAGUGAAAAUUUGACUUCGACUUUUCAAAUUUUGUAUGUAGAGAAUUCAAUCAAUGUCGAGUUUAACAAAUAGAAAUUGGGAAAAAAUCUCUUUUAUAAAAUAAUAAAAAAGGUUCAAAAAUAAAUUUAACUAUUUAUAAUUAAAUAAUUGACAGUUGACGUACUAUUUUUCUACGAUUUUUAUUAUUCUCAAAUUAAGUUCGAUUGGAUUAAAUUAUGGAUUAACAUGAAACUAAUUCAACACAAUUAUUAAUUGAGUUAGAAAAAAUUGACCGGAACCAGUCCAUUAUAAGUUAUAACCCAACUAAUCCAUCUAAAUUUCAUCCGAAAAAAUUGACUUAGAUUGAUCCCUUGCAUUAGAUUAAUGUUUUCGCACUAUUAGCCAAAUUUACAUGGAAACUCAUAAUUGAUAAAUGACACGUGGCAUUUAUUGAUAGACAAUAUUCAGUUUUUGUAUCCUAACUUUAAUAUUUAAUUAAUGAAAAUAUCACUAUCCCUUGAGAUGAAAACGUCUUUGAGAUAUUAUUAUUACUUGAAAAAUAUUAUUACUACAUUGAAUUGUGAAUGACUCAUUUAUCCAGAUUCUUCGUUUCCUC
rnacentral:lncRNA from 1 species